rnacentral:rRNA from 1 species
CCUACGGGAGGCAGCAGUGGGGAAUAUUGCACAAUGGGCGCAAGCCUGAUGCAGCGACGCCGCGUGAGGGAUGACGGCCUUCGGAUUGUAAACCUCUUUCAGUAGGGAAGAAGCGAAAGUGACGGUACCUGCAGAAGAAGCACCGGCUAACUACGUGCCAGCAGCCGCGGUGC